rnacentral:sRNA from 1 species
GUGGAAGCUCCCGCGGCGCCGCGAUGGACCUCGAGGAGGCGGAAGAGUUUAAAGAACGCUGUGCUCAGUGUGCUGCUGUCUCAUGGGGUCUUACUGAUGAAGGCAAAUAUUAUUGCACUUCUUGCCACAAUGUUACAGAGGUGAGUAACAAAUAUCAUUUAUGAAUUUGCUUAUGUUUUAAAAAUUGCCAUUUCAGCCUGAUAUGUAGUCUAAGUCCAAAGAAUUGGGUUGAUUUUUGUCACUCAUGCAAUGCCAACAUUCCAAGGAUGCAUGUGGUCUUAGGUACUUACACAUAGGUUAAGGGAUUUGUGAAUUAGAUUGAGGAUGAGUUUUUGAAGUUAUGUUGGGCCACAUUUAUAAAUGAUUUCUUAUUCAGAGUAUGUGGUUGAGGGAAAUAAUUAAAAUUGUACUUAGAAGAUGAUGCAUUUCUUUUUAUCAGUUAGUACUUAUUUACAUUUUUUAAAAUGUGUCAUGGUGGCUUAGAGGUUUGGAAGAUGGAAUGUUAGAAAACUUGAGGACUGGGCCGGGCACAGUGGCUUACGCCUGUAAUCCCAGCACUUUGGGAGGCUAAGGCAGGUGGAUCACCUGAGGUCGGGAGUUUGAGACCAGCCUGGCCAACAAUGGGAAGCUCCGUCUCUACU